rnacentral:ncRNA from 2 species
AGGGGAAGUCGGUGAGAGUCCGACGCUGGCCCGCAACCGUGUCGUCGACCUCGGUCGACCC